rnacentral:rRNA from 1 species
AAACAUGUCUUUAAGAUUAUAAUUUAAAGUYUAGUCUGCUCCAUGAAUAUUUUAAAUAGCUGCAGAAUUUUAACUGUACAAAGGUAGCAUAAUCAAUAGUUUUUUAAUUAAAAGCUGGAAUGAAUGAUUGGAUAAGGUAAAAAUUGUCUCAAAUUUAUGAAAUUAGAAUUUUUUUUUUAGUAAAAAAACUAAAGUAAAUUUAAAAGACGAGAAGACCCUAUAGAUUUUUAUAUUUUAUUUAAAAAUAAAUUUAAAUUAUAAAAUAAGUUUUUUAAGUUAAUUAUUAGGUUGGGGAAAUUAUUAAAUUAAUAAAAUUUUAAUUAGAUUUAAACUUAAAUUUAAGGGUAAUUGAUCUUAUAAAUUUAAAUUAAAAGAAUAAAAUACCUUAGGGAUAACAGCGUAAUUUUUUUGGAGAGAUCUAAUUGAUAAAAAAGUUUGCGACCUCGAUGUUGAAUUAAGAAAUAAUAUUAAUGAAGAAAUUAAUAAAUUUUAGUCUGUUCGACUAUUAAAAUCUUACGUGAUCUGAGUUCA